rnacentral:lncRNA from 1 species
ACCCACUGUGCCUCUGCUGACAGCCCCUUGCGCCCCAUCACCUGCAGCCAUGGGGCAGAGACAGCGUGUGGGGCAGACCCACAUCAUCUCCCUGCCCCACAUCCUGCCCCACGGAAUCCCCCUGCCCCACAUCCUGAGCCUUGGAAUCCCCCACAUCCACCCCCUGCGCCUCUGCCAAGGGCCCCUUGCGCCCCAUCACCUGCAAGGGGGGCAGACCCACAUCAUCCCCCUGCCCCACAUCCUGCCCCACGGAAUCCCCCUGCCCCACAUCCUGAGCCACGG